UUUUGUUUUUCGAUUUUUUGAGACAGGGUCUCACUCUGUCACCCAGGCUGGAGUGCAGUGGUGUGAUCAUAGCUCAUCGCAGCCUCAAAACUCCUGGGCUCAAGCAGUCCUCCCACCUUGGCCUUCCAAGUAGCUGGGACCACAGGCAUGUGGCCACCACCCGCACCUGGCUAAUUUUUAAAUUUUGUAUAGAGAUGGAGUCUCACUGUGUUGCCCAGGCUGGUGUUGAACUCUUGGCCUCAAGUGAUCCUCCCACCUCAGCCUUCCUGAAGUGCUGGGAUUACAGGCAUGAGUCGCUGCACCCAGUCUGGGUUCUUAACAAGCCUAUGCAAAAUUUAAAAUCUCUGUUGCAUCUGUCAGUCUCGAAUCUCAAAAAAUUACCUUUUGACCUGUCAGGCAAAUUGGUUUAAAACAUUCAAAAUGUCCUGGCUGGGCACGGUGGCUCACGCCUGUAAUCCCAGCACUUGGGGAGGCUGAGGCGGAUGGAUCACGAGGUCAGGAGAUCGACACCAUCCUGGCUAACACGGUGAAACCCCGUCUCUGCUGAAAUAUAAAAAAUUAGCCGGGCAUGGUGGCGGGCGCCUGUAGUCCCGGCUACUUGGGAGGCUGAGGCAGGAGAAUGGCAUGAACCCGGGAGGCAGAGCUUGCAGUGAGCCGAGAUCGCGCCACUGCACUCCAGCCCAGGCGAGAGAGCGAGAGUCUGUCUCAAAAAAAAAAAAAAAAUUCGAAAUGCCCUUUUUCUUAACUCCAUUUGAACCAGCUCACAUCGAUGGGCACAAGCGUCGCCAGGAAAUUCAGUGUGGUAAGCUUGGCACCUACUCAUGGCCACCGUGUCCUGAACUCCCUUUCCUGUGCUCAGGCCCCAGCCCACGCAGCAGGAGGACACACUGCCGAAGGGACCAGUUGGACGGCCUUCUGGCUUUAGCGCCUGUGCCUUUCAGGACCUUAAAUACAGAAAGGAACCGAGUGCUCUGUGCAGCCCCUCCAAGACGGUCGCUACAGCGCCAGCACCACCUGCGCCGGGCCAUCAUGCCGUGACCGGACUUGGUUUACGAAUACAGUGUACGAGGUUAAGAUAUGAUAAAGUGUAAAAAUAUAUGUUAUAGCCACGGUGGUUAGUUUAACAUGUUUUGUAUAUAUGAUUUUUAUAAAUCUAUUAAAAUGUGCCUUAAAU
rnacentral:lncRNA from 10 species